rnacentral:rRNA from 1 species
CUUGGUCAUUUAGAGGAAGUAAAAGUCGUAACAAGGUUUCCGUAGGUGAACCUGCGGAAGGAUCAUUAUUGAAUGAACUUGGUGUGGUUGUCGCUGGCCCUCUUGGGGGCAUGUGCACACCUACCAUCCUCAUCUCUCCACCUGUGCACCUCUUGUAGAUUUGGAAUUGAUUAUCCGAGGCAACUCGGUCGUGAGGACUGCUAGCACUUAGCUGGCUUUCUUUGCAAUUCCAGGUCUAUGUUUUUCAUAUACCCCAUUGUAUGUAACAGAAUGUAUCAUUGGGCCCUUGUGCCUAUAAACCUUAUACAACUUUCAGCAACGGAUCUCUUGGCUCUCGCAUCGAUGAAGAACGCAGCGAAAUGCGAUAAGUAAUGUGAAUUGCAGAAUUCAGUGAAUCAUCGAAUCUUUGAACGCACCUUGCGCUCCUUGGUAUUCCGAGGAGCAUGCCUGUUUGAGUGUCAUUAAAUUCUCAACCAAUAUCAACUUUUGCUGAUAAUGGCUUGGAUGUGGGGGUCUAUUUUGCUGGCUUCUCAGAUAGUCAGCUCCCCUUAAAUGCAUUAGCCGGUGCCCCGCGUGGACUGUCUAUUGGUGUGAUAAUUAUCUACGCUAUAGACAUCUGCAAUCAUAUGGGUUUGCACUGCUUCUAACAGUCUGUUGAUUCAGACAAAACAUGACAAUUUGACCUCAAAUCAGGUAGGACUACCCGCUGAACUUAAGCAUAUCAAUAAGCGGAGGA